UACGGGGGGGGCAAGCGUUGUUCGGAUUUACUGGGCGUAAAGGGCUCGUAGGUGGCCAACUAAGUCAGACGUGAAAUCCCUCGGCUUAACCGGGGAACUGCGUCUGAUACUGGAUGGCUUGAGUUCGGGAGAGGGAUGCGGAAUUCCAGGUGUAGCGGUGAAAUGCGUAGAUAUCUGGAGGAACACCGGUGGCGAAGGCGGCAUCCUGGACCGACACUGACACUGAGGAGCGAAAGCCAGGGGAGCAAACGGG
rnacentral:rRNA from 1 species